CUCGUAGGCGGCCAACUCAGUCAGACGUGAAAUCCCUCGGCUUAACCGGGGAACGGCGUCUGAUACUGGAUGGCUUGAGGUUGGGAGAGGGAUGCGGAAUUCCAGGUGUAGCGGUGAAAUGCGUAGAUAUCUGGAGGAACACCGGUGGCGAAGGCGGCAUCCUGGACCAAUUCUGACGCUGAGGAGCGAAAGCCAGGGGAGCAAACGGGAUUAGAUACCCCGGUAGUCCUGGCCCUAAACGAUGAAUGCUUGGUGUGACGGGUAUCGAUCCCUGUCGUGCCGAAGCUAACGCAUUAAGCAUUCCGCCUGGGGAGUACGGUCGCAAGGCUGAA
rnacentral:rRNA from 1 species